UACAGAGGGUGCAAGCGUUAAUCGGAAUUACUGGGCGUAAAGGGCGCGUAGGCGGUUCGCUAAGUUGAAUGUGAAAACUCUGGGCUUAACCCAGAGCCUGCAUCCAAAACUGGCGAACUGGAGUACUGGAGGGGAAAGCGGAAUUCCUGGUGUAGCGGUGAAAUGCGUAGAUAUCAGGAGGAACACCGGUGGCGAAGGCGGCUUUCUGGACAGUAACUGACGCUGAGGCGCGAAAGCUAGGGGAGCAAACAGG
rnacentral:rRNA from 1 species